rnacentral:rRNA from 1 species
UGCUCAGAUUGAACGCUGGCGGCAGGCCUAACACAUGCAAGUCGAACGGUAGCACAGAGAGCUUGCUCUCGGGUGACGAGUGGCGGACGGGUGAGUAAUGUCUGGGAAACUGCCCGAUGGAGGGGGAUAACUACUGGAAACGGUAGCUAAUACCGCAUAACGUCUUCGGACCAAAGUGGGGGACCUUCGGGCCUCACACCAUCGGAUGUGCCCAGAUGGGAUUAGCUAGUAGGUGGGGUAAUGGCUCACCUAGGCGACGAUCCCUAGCUGGUCUGAGAGGAUGACCAGCCACACUGGAACUGAGACACGGUCCAGACUCCUACGGGAGGCAGCAGUGGGGAAUAUUGCACAAUGGGCGCAAGCCUGAUGCAGCCAUGCCGCGUGUAUGAAGAAGGCCUUCGGGUUGUAAAGUACUUUCAGCGGGGAGGAAGGCGGAUGGAGUUAAUAGCUUCAUCGAUGGAC